GGUUCAAUUGCGGAGUGGUCCGCACCUGCAUCAGUUGGUUUGAUUCGUACGAACAUAUACAUGCAGGCGAUGCCCGUUCGAUCCGGGCUUGGACCG